CCUGCCCUGAGGCACCAUGCAGGUAUGAAUGCUGUGUCACAUGUAUGUCAGUAAGUGACAGAGAGAAAGUGAAGGGAGUCUAUGUUUAUUCUCAAUGUUCUGACCUAUGAACAUUUGAAUAAUUAGGAGUCUAAAAUU